rnacentral:rRNA from 1 species
GACGAACGCUGGCGGCGUGCCUAAUACAUGCAAGUCGAACGCAGUGGGGACGGGUGAGUAACACGUGGGUAACCUCCUAUCAGAGGGGAAAACACUUGGAAACAGGUGCUAAACUGAUACUGAUGGAUGGACCCGCGGUGCAUUAGCUAGUCGGGGAGGUAACGGCGCACCAAGUCCACGAUGUAUAGCCGACCUGAGAGGGUGAUCGGCCACACUGGGACUGAGACACGGCCCAGACUCCUACGGGAGGCAGCAGUAGGGAAUCUUCAGCAAUGGACGAAAGUCUGACCGAGCAACGCCGCGUGAGUGAAGAAGGUUUUCGGAUCGUAAAACUCUGUUGUUAGAGAAGCGGUAUCUAACCAGAAAGCCACGGCUAACUACGUGCCAGCAGCCGCGGUAAUUC